CUCCUGAGACCAUUUCCGCCCUCUCCUGACACCACUUCCGCCCUUUGAACGACUCUACUUCCGUCUUUAGGCGGUUUAGGCGGGAAGGGCGGAGCGCGGAGCCAUAUUGGGGUUCUGUGGUUUGUGGAGGCUGCCUCAGGUCAGCCCUGAGCUGAUUUGAUGUACAAACCCAGCGCUGCUGCCUCGUUUUCCUCUCUCCUGCGUGUGGUGCAGCCUCACAGACCUUCUGCAUUGGGAAUGGGCUCUGUAGGGCCCUGCUGUUGUGGUGGAAGGCCCCCCAAAACAGGUUUAACUUUGUGCCCGGCUCCUGAGGCACAGUUUUGCUCCACCAUUAAUUGCAUCUAUUAUUCAGUAUUACUUUAGCGUAUUUAUUUAAAGCUUUCCUCCCCCGUUUUUUGCCUCUCUAGAGUCUUGCUGCUAAUGUCUGCUAAAUUUAUCUAUCAUCUGAAUAAAGCUUAUUCAGUUAUAGCCAACACUGGCAGUAACAGGCUGGUGCUGGAGGAGAAGGAGAGAGGUUUAUUCUCCCUCAGACAGUGUCCCAUGGGGAGAGAGCGGUACAAACAGCACUGGUUGUUUCUCAUGGCAAUGAUCUCUAGUGGUGGCUGAUGGCAGUUAAACAGCAGUUCAUUAACAGGCAUCUAUUCUCUGCAGGUUGUUCUCCAGCCCCUGCAGAUGUCACCUCAGUGCCAAUCUUUUUAUUCUUAGUUCUCUUUGGAAUCUCUUGUUGAAUCGUUCCUGGCAUCCUGUGUCAGUAUUUGUCAUUGUGAUUGUGCAGAUGCGUCUUUCUGGACCAGACUGUCUUGGUGCUCAUUCUUGGGAAAUAUUAACCAUUUAUUUCCUGUUCAGCAGGUCUCUUCUCACUUGUGAUUUUUCCUCUUAAAUCCAAACCACAUUUUUGGAUUAAUUUGGGUGGGCAAUGGCCGGGUGCAUAGCCUGAUGUGGCUCUGGGCAGCCUGGUCUGCUGGUUGGUGACCCUGCACAUAACAGGGGAGUUGAAACUGGAUGAUCAUUGUGGUCCUUUUCAACUCAGGCCAUUCUAUGAUAAUUCUAUGAUUUCAUGAAUAUUUCUCCAUUUUCUUGUCUACUACUAAGCUAGCAAAGACUGAGACUGCUCAGCUCCUUGUUCUGUGCUGGGUUUGUCCCUGCAUUCAUGUAAGUUAGCAUAUUUGGGAGGAGAGCUGUCAGUGUUAUGACUGUGAGGAAAGCAUUCCUGAUUAUACCUUAGCUGUCAAACAUUCUCCGUUAGCCCCUAAAAUAGAAUUACAGGUUCUCUGUAAGCUGUUCACAGACAUAUAUCACACAGAAUAGCUUUUUCUACUAGUUAAAAGUGGCAUUUACAUCGAUUAACUUUAUCAGGCUCACCUGACACAUCAUCACACGUGUUUAGUGUCAAAGCAAUGUAACCUUAUAAAUGUCUUAUGAGGCCUCCUAAUGCAAAAAUAUAAUUACCUGCACUGCUAAACAUGUUUAGAUUUAACAAAUUAAUGUGUUACAAUCUGCACUGAUUUAUUGUCUCAUUGGAAAAUAUAUGCCCUUUUCUAACUCAAAAAUAAGCCUCUGCAAAUAGUAUUGUGUUUCUGUUUCUGUUGUACCAAUUAAUAAUGCUGUCAAUUAUUUGGCCUCUGAGAAAUUCUGAGUCCCUUCUUGUUAAAUAUCUUCAGUAGCAAGAAACUUUAAUACAGGCAAUGCCUCUUUUGACCAGCAAGGUUGAGUGCAAACCUGCUAUGAUUUUAAUCCACAAUUACCUGCAGGAUAAAAUUUAACGAGCGCAUGGGGUCAUUUUGCUGAAAAGGGAAGGCAAGAUAUUUUCUUCAAGUGCAUUCACAGUCUCCUGCGUUGGAGUCUGGUCAAGCUCUUGGAGUCUGGUCAAGCUCACUGAGAAGUUAAAUAGGCACACGCUUGUUGGUGAAACGCGUUCCCCAGGUUUAGAUCUGUUGUUGCCCUAGAACUGCACAAAGAUCACUGUCUGACAUGAGCCAUGGAUUUUUCAGUGCUUUGUGAAACCAUGUAGCUAUUAUUAAUACAUUAUAUUUCUUCCACUUCUUUUAACAGGAUCUGGCAGCUUUUCUCAGGGGACGAUCAUUAGUGUUUCUCCUAACUGCAGUCUGGCUUCAGCUGUGCUUGGUCUUGGCAGACACUGUGAGAACAGCAUUUGUCAUAGCUGUACCAAAGUCACCCAGAGCCAAUACCUGCCAUACUCCUGCAGAUAUAGUUGCACAUUCUUCCCCUACUCUUUGACUUUUAACAGAAAAUUAUAUUUACACUUCUUUUUUUCCUGAAGUGCUAAACAAUCUAAGUUUAUUGCCUUGUAUUUUACUUGUGUAUUGUCCCUUUCAACCUGUACUGAUGUAGAAUUUAGGCAUUUGGAUCGCACGAUCUCAUCUCCUGCAUGUCAUAAACCAUAACAUUUCCUCUCUUGACUUUAGAUUAAGUCCAGUAACCUGUGUUUGAGAAAUCUGCUUUGUGCUGAGCACAGCAUAUAAUACACUGUAUUUUUCUUUGCAGGAGCUUCGGUGGGUUUAUUGCUCUCGCAGUGAGGAUGCAUUCCUUUUUUUCAUCACAGUAUAUAUACUUAAUUCUCACUUACCUGAAUCACUGUUGAGAGCAGAUGAGCAGCUUUUUUUCCUGACUGGUACAUACUUCUAAAAAUUUAAUGUCAGGAGACUUUGUGCCUAUGUUAGUAAAAAAAAAAAAAAAUGAAUAAAUAAGUCAGUAUUUUAUUGUACUCUUCAAAGGAUCUGCUCAAAUUAAAAUUUCAUCCAAGAAAACUUCAUCACUUUGUAAUCCCUCAAAAAUCAGUGCAGUUAGCUUUUUGGAAAGCUUUGGGGACAGAAUGAAUGUCAAAUGGUAUUCAUUUAAAUGUAUAACAUCCAGAUACAUCGCUGUCUUAGAGCCUGAAUAAUCUAACUUGUGAUGGCAAAAACCACAGGCGCUGCCUUUCAGAUGGAGAAUGUCCUUGCUUCUGAGAGUUAAGCUAUCUUCGAAAGCUUUCUGCUGCUAAUGUUCAUGUUUUAUAGCUUUCUCUAAAUUUCAUGCCUCAGUGAUUACCUGUGUGAGCUGGCUGGCUUUUCAAUUACAAAUAACUCAGCAUACAGAUCAGCUGAAGUUUUAAGUAACUUCCUUAUGUGACCAUUAGAAUUUUACUUUCUGCUUUAUAUCUUAUGACAUUGAAAAUGGAAAAUUUCCCUGUUUGAAUAAGUCAAUAAAGUUUCCGGUUUGUCUUGGAGUGAUUGUCACUUUCCCUGUUAUUCUGGGCUUUGGAAGAUGUUUGAGAUUAUCAUUCAUUUGGUCUGUGCCACCUUGUUAUUUCUGGUUAAUAUUAUAAUGUCAUAUUGCUGUCUGUAGCAGUUCUUAAUAGCAGUUUCUGUGGUGUUUUUUUUUUUUUUGUUGUUGUUUGUUUUGUUUUUUUUUUAUGUUCUAGCUCUGGAUUUGAGGGGUUACACAGGAGUCUCAGCUUGAAGGGAUGUUGUGAAGAAUGUUAGAAAGCAGAAGCUGAGAGAUGCAAUAGAAGUAAGAUUCAGCAAUCACAAGGGUUUAGUUUAGGACUGUUUUGAACAUUCUUAUCAUUUUGAGAGAUGGGAUCUUGAUGUUUAAACACUUGGUAUUGUUUGUACUGAGGACACACAGACAUGCGUAUUUUUUUCCCUUUCAAAAUGAAACAGGCUGAUUUUCAAGCUGAUUUAUAACAGAUUUUCACCUUUGCAUGUUCCUUCACAUGUGGGUCAUGCAAUGUGCUUUGCUUUAGACAACUGUCCAGCUUCACCACAUCUGGUGUUCUGUAUUUUCUCUGAAGAGCAAUACAUGAUGAUGCCUUAAUCAAAGCUGCUGUCAUUACUACUUAUCUGUGCUUGCUAACCUCAGUGGUUUCUGUUGCAGUCAUUGUUUCUACAAAGAACCAUGGAUCACUGCUUACCCUGUACUUCAAAUACACAGAAACCUUUGUCCUUUAACUGUGUGACAUGCCUUUGAAAAGUGAUUUGACUUUCUGGCCUGCUGAGUUUGAACAAGUGCUGGACAAUGGCUUGAUUCAUAUCCCUGCAUGGGCAAUUCGCUGCAAGAUGUUGGACCUGAUGACUCUUACGGGUCCUUUCCAACUCGGAAGAUUCUGUAAUUCUGUGAUGGAAAUCACAGCACUGUUCCCCAGGAACCAUGGCACCUUCCCACCAAUGAGUGUGGGUCAUCCCAGUAACCACGGCACCUUCCCACUAGUGAGUGUGGGGCAUCCCAGGAACCAUGGCACCUUCCCACUAGUACAACUGGGACUCCCAAAGUUGGUAUCCCUUCUGUUCCAGAGUCAAGUGAAGAGGUUUUAGGAUGCUGGGUGGAAGCAGAUGUUGAGGGAGAUCGGGAUAUGAUUGAGACCGUUUUGCUGCAGAAAAAUGUGUGUCUCUGUUUUGGCUGUUGACUGAAAAUGUAACAGUUUUGAUGAUACAUAAAGCAUGAUGAGUUAAUUCCCAAACCAUACUGACAGCUGGGCAGGGAAGAUGGGACUACAGUCUGUUUUCUGUCUUCCUGGCCCUGUUUAGAGGUUUGCAGAAUCCUCCGAGUCCUCAUCCUGCUGUUGACAGAGGAUUGCUAGAGGAGACAUCAGGAAAAGCUUUGGGUAGUGAAGCACAGGUUUGGAUUUCCUGGACGUGAGUUGGGGUAUGAGCUAUGGCAGUGGUCAGUGGGGGCUGCAAGUACCACUUGAAGUGGGUACCUUAGCUUGCUCCCUCCUCUGGCUGAGGCCCCUGAUCCAAAACCUCCUGUAGGAUCCAAAACCUCAACCCGGUCACCUCACUGUGCUUCUGCUUCAGGUUCUUUCCUGCUGGCACCUGAGCCAGCUCUGGCUCAUUUGCACACAGCCUCCCAUGUUUCUUGGUCAUUGAG